rnacentral:rRNA from 1 species
UAACGCGUGAGGAACCUGCCUUUCGGAGGGGGACAACAGUUGGAAACGACUGCUAAUACCGCAUGACACAUGACUGUGGCAUCAUAGACAUGUCAAAGAUUUUAUCGCCGAAAGAUGGCCUCGCGUCUGAUUAGCUAGUUGGUGAGGUAACGGCUCACCAAGGCGACGAUCAGUAGCCGGACUGAGAGGUUGGCCGGCCACAUUGGGACUGAGAUACGGCCCAGACUCCUACGGGAGGCAGCAG